CCNGACCCGACUGCUAUCCGGAUGCGACUAAGCCAUGCUAGUCUAACGGAUCUUCGGAUCCGUGGCGUACCGCUCUGUAACACGUAGAUAACCUACCCUGAGGUCGGGGAAACUCCCGGGAAACUGGGCCUAAUCCCCGAUAGAUAAUUUGUACUGGAAUGUCUUUUUAUUGAAACCUCCGAGGCCUCAGGAUGGGUCUGCGCCAGAUUAUGGUCGUAGGUGGGGUAACGGCCCACCUAGCCUUUGAUCUGUACCGGACAUGAGAGUGUGUGCCGGGAGAUGGCCACUGAGACAAGGGGCCAGGCCCUACGGGGCGCAGCAGGCGCGAAAACUUCACAAUGCCCGCAAGGGUGAUGAGGGUAUCCGGAGUGCUACCUUAGCCGGUAGCUUUUAUUCAGUGUAAAUAGCUAGAUGAAUAAGGGGAGGGCAAGGCUGGUGCCAGCCGCCGCGGUAAAACCAGCUCCCCGAGUGGUCGGGAUUUUUAUUGGGCCUAAAGCGUCCGUAGCCUGGCGUGCAAGUCAUUGGUUAAAUAUCGGGUCUUAAGCCCGAACCUGCUAGUGAUACUACACGCCUUGGGACCGGAAGAGGCAAAUGGUACGUUGAGGGUAGGGGUGAAAUCCUGUAAUCCCCAACGGACCACCGGUGGCGAAGCUUGUUCAGUCAUGAACAACUCUACACAAGGCGAUUUGCUGGGACGGAUCCGACGGUGAGGGACGAAACCCAGGGGAGCGAGCGGGAUUAGAUACCCCGGUAGUCCUGGGCGUAAACGAUGCGAACUAGGUGUUGGCGGAGCCACGAGCUCUGUCGGUGCCGAAGCGAAGGCGUUAAGUUCGCCGCCAGGGGAGUACGGCCGCAAGGCUGAAACUUAAAGGAAUUGACGGGGGAGCACCACCAGGGGAGGAGCCUGCGGUUCAAUUGGACUCAACGCUUGAACCAUCUCCUAAACUAGUGGUCCCUGCGGGUUAUACGCCGGAAAUCUUACCGGAGUCGACAGCAUGAUGAAAGCCAGGCUGAAGACCUUGCUUGAAGCGCUGAGAGGAGGUGCAUGGCCGUCGCCAGCUCGUACCGUGAGGCGUCCUCUUAAGUGAGGCAACGAGCGAGACCCACACCUACAGUUGCCAGCACGAGGUGCCACCUUGGUGGGCACACUGUAGGGACUGCCCGCGAAAAGUGGGAGGAAGGUGUGGGCCACGGCAGGUCAGUAUGCCCCGAAAACUCCGGGCCACACGCGGGCUACAAUGGCUAGGACAGAGGGCUCCCGACUUCGAAAGAAGAAGGAAAUCCCUAAACCUAGUCUCAGUUGGGAUUGAGGGCUGCAACCCGCCCUCAUGAACGUGGAUUCCCUAGUAAUCGCGUGUCAUCUAUCGCGCGAUGAAUACGUCCCUGCUCCUUGUACACACCGCCCGUCGUUGCACCCGAGUUGGGUUUGCCUGAGGCUGCUUUUCCCUUCGGGGAGGCGCAUUCAAAGGUGAGUUCGAUGAGGGGGCAAAAGUCGUAACAAGGUAGCC
rnacentral:rRNA from 1 species